CCUACGGGUGGCAGCAGUGGGGAAUAUUGCACAAUGGGCGCAAGCCUGAUGCAGCCAUGCCGCGUGUGUGAAGAAGGCCUUCGGGUUGUAAAGCACUUUCAGCGGGGAGGAAGGCGGUGAGGUUAAUAACCUCAUCGAUUGACGUUACCCGCAGAAGAAGCACCGGCUAACUCCGUGCCAGCAGCCGCGGUAAUACGGAGGGUGCAAGCGUUAAUCGGAAUUACUGGGCGUAAAGCGCACGCAGGCGGUCUGUCAAGUCGGAUGUGCAAUCCCCGGGCUCAACCUGGGAACUGCAUUCGAAACUGGCAGGCUAGAGUCUUGUAGAGGGGGGUAGAAUUCCAGGUGUAGCGGUGAAAUGCGUAGAGAUCUGGAGGAAUACCGGUGGCGAAGGCGGCCCCCUGGACAAAGACUGACGCUCAGGUGCGAAAGCGUGGGGAGCAAACAGGAUUAGAUACCCCAGUAGUC
rnacentral:rRNA from 1 species